rnacentral:lncRNA from 1 species
CAAUCUUUGAUGUCUUCUUCUUGUGAAGGGUGGUGAGGGAGAAAGAAGACAACCUCAGCCAAAGAGGCCCUGCCCACGAUAGUUCUCGGGUGAGGGAAGGGGCUCCAGGGAGUAGGGCAGGGAUUUUGCACAAAGAGCGGCCCCCAGCUCAAAAGCCACAAAAAGAAAAGGUGGUCAGAGAGCUUCUCCUACCCUGGAGAAUCCUGUAGGCAACUCUUUCUUCACACUUGGCAGUUUUCCCUCUUCUCUGCCAUGCUCCC